GAUGAACGCUAGCGGGAGGCUUAACACAUGCAAGUCGAGGGGCAGCAUAGGGUAGCAAUACUCUGAUGGCGACCGGCAAACGGGUGAGUAACGCGUAUGCAACCUACCCUGUACAGGGGGAUAACCCGGAGAAAUUCGGACUAAUAUCCCGUAAUAAUAUCCGGAGGCAUCUUUGGAUAUUUAAAGCUCUGGCGGUACAGGAUGGGCAUGCGCGACAUUAGCUAGUUGGUAAGGUAACGGCUUACCAAGGCGACGAUGUUUAGGGGACCUGAGAGGGUUGUCCCCCACACUGGUACUGAGACACGGACCAGACUCCUACGGGAGGCAGCAGUGAGGAAUAUUGGUCAAUGGGCGCAAGCCUGAACCAGCCAUCCCGCGUGAAGGAAGAAUGCGCUACGCGUUGUAAACUUCUUUUCCAGGGGAGAAUAAUCCUGUCGUGACAGGACUUGACGGUACUCUGGGAAUAAGCAUCGGCUAACUCCGUGCCAGCAGCCGACGGUAAAAGUGUG
rnacentral:rRNA from 1 species